AUGGAGUUUCUAGGCUUGCUAGCUCUUGCCAUCGCCGCGGUGGUCGGAGUUGUCGCCGGCGAGGACUCAACCUGGAGCAAUGGCCGCGCCACGUUCUAUGGCGGCAACGACGCGUCAGGGACAAUGGGAGGAGCGUGUGGGUACGGCAACAUGUUCAGCGCGGGGUACGGGACCAACACGGCGGCGCUGAGCACCGCGCUGUUCAACAACGGGCAGAGCUGCGGCGCGUGCUUUGAGAUCCGGUGCGCCGGCAGCGGGAGCUGCCUGCCGGGCUCCGCCGUCGUGACGGCCACCAACCUCUGCCCCGCCAACUACGCACUCCCCAACAACGAGGGCGGGUGGUGCAACCCGCCGCAGUCGCAUUUCGACCUCGCUGAGCCUAUGUUCACUAAGAUCGCCCAGGCCCGUGCCGGCGUCGUGCCCGUCCAGUACAGAAGGGUGGUGUGUGUCAAGACGGGUGGCAUCCGGUUCACCAUCACCGGCCACUCCUACUUCAACCUGGUGCUCAUCACCAACGUUGCCGGCGCCGGCGACCUGACGGCGGUGUACGUGAAAUCUCCUAGCACAGGAUGGCUGACCAUGAGCCACAACUGGGGCGCCAACUGGCAGAACGGCGCCAUGCUCAACGGCCAGCCGCUGUCCUUCCGGGUCACCACCAGCGACGGCCGUACCAUCACGUCCAACAACGUGGCGCCCUCCGGUUGGAGCUUCGGCCAGACCUUCGCCGGUAGCCAGUUCUAG
rnacentral:rRNA from 1 species